rnacentral:rRNA from 1 species
AACGUAGGACGCAAGCGUUAUCCGGAGUUACUGGGCGUAAAGCGCGCGUAGGCGGCUUUGUAAGUUAGAGGUGAAAGCCCGGGGCUCAACCCCGGAAUUGCCUUUAAGACUGCAUCGCUAGAAUCCAGGAGAGGUGAGUGGAAUUCCGAGUGUAGAGGUGAAAUUCGUAGAUAUCUGAAGGAACAUCAGUGGCGAAAGCGACUUCCUGGACCAAUACUGACGCUCAUGUGCGAAAGCGUGGGGAGCAAACAGG